UACGUAGGGUGCAAGCGUUGUCCGGAAUUAUUGGGCGUAAAGAGCUCGUAGGCGGCCUGUCGCGUCGGCUGUGAAAACCCGGGGCUCAACCCCGGGCCUGCAGUCGAUACGGGCAGGCUAGAGUUCGGCAGGGGAGACUGGAAUUCCUGGUGUAGCGGUGAAAUGCGCAGAUAUCAGGAGGAACACCGGUGGCGAAGGCGGGUCUCUGGGCCGAUACUGACGCUGAGGAGCGAAAGCGUGGGGAGCAAACAGG
rnacentral:rRNA from 1 species